UACGUAGGGAGCAAGCGUUGUCCGGAAUCAUUGGGCGUAAAGCGCGCGUAGGCGGCCUCAUAAGUCCGUUGUGAAAGUCAAAGGCUCAACCUUUGAAAGCCGAUGGAUACUGUGAGGCUAGAGUUCGGAAGAGGCGAGUGGAAUUCCUGGUGUAGCGGUGGAAUGCGCAGAUAUCAGGAGGAACACCAAUAGCGAAGGCAGCUCGCUGGGACGAUACUGACGCUGAGGAGCGAAAGCGUGGGGAGCGAACAGG
rnacentral:rRNA from 1 species